GAAUCAACGCUGGCGGCGUGCCUCAGACAUGCAAGUCGAACGAUUAAAGCUCUCUUCGGAGAGUGUAUAGAGUGGCGCACGGGUGAGUAACACGUAAGUAAUCUACCCUCGAGUGGGGGAAUAACGUCCGGAAACGGACGCUAAUACCGCAUAAUGCAGCGGCACCGCAAGGUGACAGUUGUUAAAGAUUUAUCGCUUGAGGAGGAGCUUGCGGCAGAUUAGCUAGUUGGUAAGGUAAUGGCUUACCAAGGCUACGAUCUGUAACCGGUCUAAGAGGACGGUCGGUCACACUGACACUGAAUAACGGGUCAGACUCCUACGGGAGGCAGCAGUCGGGAAUUUGGGGC
rnacentral:rRNA from 1 species